rnacentral:tRNA from 1 species
GGUGGCUCAGUGGUAGAGUGCUUGCUUUGCAUGCAUGAGGCCUUGGGUUCGAUUCCUCAGCACCG